rnacentral:rRNA from 1 species
UAAGACGAAGGAUGCAAGCGUUAUCCGGAUUCAUUGGGUUUAAAGGGAGCGUAGGUGGCCUUAUAAGUCAGUGGUGAAAUCUCUCGGCUUAACUGAGAAAUUGCCAUUGAUACUGUAGGGCUUGAGUACAGUUGCUGUGGGCGGAAUAUGACAUGUAGUGGUGAAAUACAUAGAGAUGUCAUAGAACACCGAUUGCGAAGGCAGCUCACAAAACUGUAACUGACACUGAGGCUCGAAAGUGCGGGGAUCAAACAGGAUUAGAUACCCUGGUAGUCCGCACUGUAAACGAUGAUUACUCGCUGCUGGAGGGCAACUUUCAGUGGCUUAGCAAAAGCGAUAAGUAAUCCACCUGGGGAGUACGCCGGCAACGGUG